rnacentral:rRNA from 1 species
CCUACGGGUGGCAGCAGUAGGGAAUCUUCCACAAUGGGCGAAAGCCUGAUGGAGCAACGCCGCGUGGGUGAAGAAGGUCUUCGGAUCGUAAAACCCUGUUGUUAGAGAAGAAAGUGCGUGAGAGUAACUGUUCACGUUUCGACGGUAUCUAACCAGAAAGCCACGGCUAACUACGUGCCAGCAGCCGCGGUAAUACGUAGGUGGCAAGCGUUAUCCGGAUUUAUUGGGCGUAAAGGGAACGCAGGCGGUCUUUUAAGUCGGCGGUCAAAGCCCGGGGCUCAACCCCGGCCCGCCGUUGAAACUGGCAGUCUCGAGUUGGAGAGAGGUAUGCGGAAUGCGCGGUGUAGCGGUGAAAUGCAUAGAUAUCGCGCAGAACUCCGAUUGCGAAGGCAGCAUGCCGGCUCCACACUGACGCUGAGGCACGAAAGCGUGGGUAUCGAACAGGAUUAGAUACCCGAGUAGUC